UCUACUGAGUUUUCGUUCUGUGUAGGAUAUAAUCCGCGAUAUAGAUAUAAAUCAGUAUUUAUGAAUUCUAGUGGCACGGUGCCGCGCUUCAGACCCUCGAAAAGUGGCUCAAUCACCUGAUUCCGCUUAUGCAACCGAGGUGCAGUGCACUUGCUUACCACUUUUUCUGUAAAAUCGCGUACGUACACGAAUAUUGCGGUGGGAAAAAAUGAACCGAGUGAUUCUGGAGAAUAUAUAUGGGAUAUAAGUCAUAUAUUUUCAUUUUUAUUUGUAAACAAGCUGAAAAGGCUGGAAAAUCAGCCGGCAACCGAGUAAUUAAAUUUUCUACCAAACGUCAUUUACUCUUUUAUGCAACCGAAAAAUUUCCAGUGAGUGGUUUAAUCAGAAUUCAAAUAAAAAAAUUGAGUUUUACAUAAAAAACAAUAUCUCUGACCUACAAAUUCAAUUCAAUGGGUUUUUUUUAUAAAAUUUGAUGCCUCAUAAAACACAGUAUGAUUGACACUGGCGGAAAAUUUGUUGUCGCGAAAAAAAAUACUAAAAUUUCCGUCACUUUGAAUUGCAAAUAUAAAAAAUCAGCCAGCAGAUAAUUUUUUUCAAAAAUACAAACCCGCGCUUGGAAAAAAAAUUCGCCGACGAAAAACCAACAGAUGAACUACAAUCAUAAAUUAUAUGGCUUAGCCCACGAAAUGCAACGAGAUGUACAGAUAUAUAUGAAACAUGUAUAGCGAGAAAUAAAUAAGAACUAAAGGCGAUACGUUGGCACUUUUUCAUGUCUAUUUUUCGCAACAGCUUGCCCAUAACUCGCGUGUGUCACGAAAACCGCUUUAUAUUCAGCGCAAGGAUUUUAAAUUGAGCUUAUGCUAAUCACUACGGAAUAUGUCCGCGCAUUGUUCCCAGAAAAUCCAGUUCUACCCUUUAAAGUAGAAAUAUUUUAACUCCCAUCCACUAAGUGGGCGAAGAAAAACAUAAACAAAUGGAGAAGACAAACAAUAAUAGCUAUUUUAUUAUCUAACAUAUAAAUAUAUGUAUUUAUAUUUUCUCUUUCUCGUCCUCUCCUUUUUAUCCUGCUUCUUCUUUAUGUUUACUUUAUAUUUAUCUCAGUUAUUUCACCUAUACGUUGCCGCGUUUUGUUAUGCGGAAAAAUUUUAAAUUUACGUAAUAUACAACUGCAAGCCCUCAAGCUCUCAAACGAGUGAGCUUGCGCUUUUUGAAUAAAUUCAAAAUCUUCGUAAAUGUGCCUGAGAAAAUAUUAUUUAAUUUUUUAUUUUAAAUAUCAUUUAAUAUUUCAGUCGAGUAUAAAAAUAUAUUUCGUGGAUUUUUACCUCCCUUAUUUUUAUUUCUACUCUGCAAAAAAUUUUGGUGUAAAAAUGGACCCGGAGAAAUUUAAACGGCUGUGUAGUGUGAAAUAACGGUGUAAAAUUCUCUCGGUGUAAAUUUUUCAUCCGUGUAAUUUUAACAUAGUGUAGUAUAGUUUUUUUUACACCAUUCCGUGUUACUCGUAAUUUUUAUUAAUGAGAAACAAACGAUCAUUUAAUAUUUUUAACUACUUAAUUUUAUUUAAAUAUUAAUUACACUGUAAAAAAUCACCGGGGUAAGUCCAAGCGGUGUAGGUGUUAAAAUUAUCGGUGUUAAACUUACCCCCGAAAGCGGUGUUCAAAUAACGUCGCCACCGGUGUAAUCAUUUUGUACCGGUGUUAAAAUAACGCCGCCACCGGUGUAAAUAUUUAAGACCGAUGUUAAAAUAACGCCGCCGCCAGUGGAGAUAUUCUAGACCGGUGUUAAAAUAUUUUACUUUGUGAAUAUUUUUACUUACUUGUUAAUAAAUGAUAUUUUUUAUUAAUUUUCAUAAAAAACUGACAUUUUUUGUGUUUUAUAAUCUUUGAAGUUAAUACUCCAAGCGGACGCAAUUUACCCCGCUUUUACACCGGUUUUAUUCCGCUUUUACACCUGUUACCCUGAUUUUACACCGGUUUUACUCCGCUUUUACACCGGUUACCCCGCUUUAACACCGGUGUAAUUUCAUUUUUACACCGGGCGGCGUUAAAACGAGUCCAUUUUUAACACCGCUCUUUUUACAGUAUUUUGAACAUUUCGAUAUUUUUAUGAUUAAUUUUCUUAACGCAAAAUUAUAAUGAAUUAUAAAUUUCCACGUAUGGCGGUGUAAAAAUUUUAAAUUAACACCGUCUAAAUUUAACACCAAAUUUGGUGUAAUUUUUACACCAAAAUUUUUACACCGAGAAAUUUA